UGGGGAAUAUUGGACAAUGGGCGAAAGCCUGAUCCAGCCAUGCCGCGUGUGUGAAGAAGGUCUUCGGAUUGUAAAGCACUUUAAGUUGGGAGGAAGGGCAUUAACCUAAUACGUUAGUGUUUUGACGUUACCGACAGAAUAAGCACCGGCUAACUCUGUGCCAGCAGCCGCGGUAAUACAGAGGGUGCAAGCGUUAAUCGGAAUUACUGGGCGUAAAGCGCGCGUAGGUGGUUUGUUAAGUUGGAUGUGAAAUCCCCGGGCUCAACCUGGGAACUGCAUUCAAAACUGACUGACUAGAGUAUGGUAGAGGGUGGUGAAUUUCCUGUGUAGCGGUGAAAUGCGUAGAUAUAGGAAGGAACACCAGUGGCGAAGGCGACCACCUGGACUAAUACUGACACUGAGGUGCGAAAGCGUGGGGAGCAAACA
rnacentral:rRNA from 1 species